ensembl:snoRNA SNORD33 Small nucleolar RNA Z195/SNORD33/SNORD32 family
UCUGUCGAUGAUGAUCAACUAUCUGCCUUGUUUGAGUUUAACGACCAUGAUAUAACUCACAUGCACUACCAUCUGAGACGGG